rnacentral:rRNA from 1 species
AUGAUUGAGUUUGAUUUGGAUAGGCACAUCCUAGCUUUGAUCAGUGCCCCUCCCACUAUAAAUGAGUCACGUCACUUUUUUGACAUGCGUGAGGUCAUCCAGAUCAUGGAUGGCACUGUUGGCAUCGCCAUAUUGUCUCACUAUUACCAUAACAUUCAAAUGUGGCAAAGGAAGGUUAAUUGUCAGGGUGCUACCAAAUGGGAGUUGUGGAAGACCAUUGACAUGCAUAACAUUGAUGGGAUCCCCCCUGGGGUUGAAGGAGUGAGGCCAGGGUUGUUAUUUAGACUGAGAUAUGCUGAGGAUACUGAUGAGAUAUUUCUACAUGUGGGCCAUAAUGUCUAUAUGGUUCAACUUAAGUCGAUGCAAUCGAAGAAACUUUGUGAAAGCGGUUGUGUUAGUGCUCAUCAUUCUUUCAAGAGUUUCUGUAUGCCAGGCACAACCAUUGUUGGUGGAUGUGAUGGAUCCCAUACAUAG